rfam:Parcubacteria (Giovannonibacteria) bacterium GW2011_GWB1_47_6b TY02_C0033, whole genome shotgun sequence.
GCCGGUGUAGCUCAGUGGCAGAGCAUUUUCUUGGUAAGAAAAAGGUCGGGAGUUCAAUCCUCCCCACCGGCU